GGCAAACCCGGCGAAAGCCGGCGACGCAAAGCUAAAGGGUCUGAACCAUGUUUCGUGGAAUGGCAGCCAGCUGC
rnacentral:ncRNA from 1 species